AAGAGAGAAGUAUUAGAGUUGUGAGAGUAAUCCACAAACUGUUUUAUAGUCUGUGAGAAAAUAGAGUGGGAGUAAUAUUGUGGUGAGAUAUUUAAGACAAAGAGUGUUAUUUCUUUUGAGUCAUAAUAGUCUUUUGACACUACAAAGUUAUAAUAUUAUAGUGAUAUUAUAUUGCUCCUCUCAGGUAUUGUAUUUUACCCCGUUAAAAGAUUUGGUAUCAUUGUUACUCUCUUGUUUCAUUAUUAUUUAUCGUGGAUAUUAUUUCUAGGCGGGAUAUUAUUUUUCCCCAACAAAGGAUUGUUCAUUUGGCAGAGGGAUUGCCCGGGUGCUGUCAUAGACUUUAGGAAUAUUUUAGAUAGUGACACACUUGGUAUCGAAGCCUAGGUAUAAAUUCCUAUGAGUAUCAAUACAGACUUGUUUAUGAGAAUGUACAUGUCCUCACUUCUAAGCGAUAGGCUAUUGAGGCUUUUAGAAAAAUUUCCAUUGUUUCAUUCUUUUAUAGUAUGAUAGGCUCAAGCAAGUAAUUUAACUCGUCCUGUAUUAUAUCCCACAUUUGGUGAGAAAUCGAUCCGCUACUCAAAUUGAACUAAACAUUUCACCUGAGAUGCAGGAAGCACCGAGUAGGAAGGGCAAGCGCAGGAGAUAGACCAUGACAUAGAUAGCUGCACAACGUAGGGCUAGAGCCACCACUGCUACCAGGUUCAUAGUCAAGCUACUAGACCUGCUUCAGUUUCUCAACAUGAAAUUAUAUAGAUUUAUCAAGUCCCACAAUACGUUCGAGACGAUUUCAUAGCUUCCAGUAAUAUAGGACACUCUAGUUCAUUAUUUGAGUGUCCUGGAGACCCUUACUCCUCGACCAGAUGGUGUGUUGUUACUCCAAAAGCUUCUCAUACCCUAGUUGGGCAAGUGGAAAGUUUUGGACCAUGCAUACCCUGGUGCAGUAAGAUUCACACAUUUAUCAGACUCUCGUUCUAUAAGCAGUAGUGGGUACACUAUGAGGUUUUCAACUUGUUUCCCCGAAUGCAAAGAAUACUUCUAGGCUAUAAGCUUUCCUGAAGCUGAAGCCCCCAAAUGUUGUGAGCUUUGAUACAUCUUAUAACGACCCGAUCGGUCAUUUUAUGUAAUUGCACCGCAUUACCCCUUUUAUUGCUUCACCCUUGUGUGUUAAUGUCUUUAUGACUUGCGGGGUUGAUUAGUUUUAUUCCGGAAAGCUUUCGGGUUGAUUUGGACCCUUGAUUCUAGACUUAGAAGCUUUAAUAUAAAAAUGUUGACCAAACUUUGACUUUUGUGCAAACGAUCAUGGAACUGUAUUUUUAUGACUCUGAUAGCUAUGUAUCGUGAUUUCAAACUUGCACGUAUGCCCGAAACUGAUUUUGGAAGUCCAUAGGUUGAUUUGUGUUGAUUUACCGAAAUUUGGCAAUUUUUAAGUUGAAAAGUUUGACCGUAGGUUGAAUUUUAGCUAUUGAGCUCGGAAUUUAAUUUUAGGACUUGGAAUAGGUCCGUUAUGACAUUUAAAACUUGUCUGCAAAAUUUGGCGUCGUUCGGAGUUGAUUUGAUAGAAUUCGGAUGCUUAGUUGAAAUUUAGAAGUUCUUGAAUAUCUCUUUGAAAAUCAUGCAUUUUUGAGUUCAAUUCGUAGUUUUAGAUGUUAUUUUGGUGUUUUGAUUGCGCGAUUGAGUUUGUAUGAUAUUUUUAUACUUGUGUGAAUAUUUGGUUUGGAGCCUCGCGGGCUCGGGUGAGUUUCGGACGCUUAGCAGAGUGUUGUUGGAAUUUAAAGUUGCUGGUUUUCUGCACAGGCUACAGAUCUCGCAUUUGCAAGGUGUGAGUUUGCAUUUGCAAAGGUAGGCCAAGUCUCCUGGGUUCGCAUUUGCGAAAGUUUCUGGGAUGGGCUAGGUUCGCAAUUGCGAUGAUUUUGUCGCAAUUACGAGGGCAAUAGUGGUCACAAAUGUGAUCUAAUAUUCACAUUUGCGAAGAGUUUCCCUAAGCUUCAGUUCCGCAAUUGCGAGGCUUUAUUCGCAAUUGCGAACCCAUGUCGCAAUUGAGACAUCUGCAACUGAUCAAAUAGGUGAGGGACGGGA
rnacentral:lncRNA from 1 species